UGGGGAAUCUUGGACAAUGGGGGCAACCCUGAUCCAGCGACGCCGCGUGGGUGAAGAAGGCCUUAGGGUUGUAAACCCCUUUCACCGGGGAGGAUGAUGACGUUACCCGGAGAAGAAGCACCGGCUAACUCCGUGCCAGCAGCCGCGGUAAGACGGAGGGUGCUAGCGUUGUUCGGAAUCACUGGGCGUAAAGGGCGCGUAGGCGGCCAGGUCAGUCAGAUGUGAAAGCCCGGGGCUCAACCCCGGAACGGCAUUUGAUACUGCCUGGCUUGAGGUCGAGAGAGGAGAGUGGAAUACCCAGUGUAGAGGUGAAAUUCGUAGAUAUUGGGUGGAACACCAGUGGCGAAAGCGGCUCUCUGGCUCGACUCUGACGCUGAGGCGCGAAAGCGUGGGGAGCAAACAGGAUUAGAUACCCCUGUAGUCC
rnacentral:rRNA from 1 species